UGUUUGUUUCAUUUGUAUGUGGCUCUGUUUCCUGUGGACUGUAGUCAGAUAGAGUAAAGUAGCUCUUUUAGGUUGUUUCACAGUCUUACAUAGGAGAAGAUCAGGAACGUUUCGUUGUUCCUAUAAAUUGUUUGCAGAGUGCUUGCUUCCUUGAAUUGCUGAAGGAAGCAGGGGAGGUUUAUGGGUUUGAUAAAAAGCGGGCCUCUCAAGCUCCGCUGUAGUGUGGAUCGUUUUCAUAAGGUUUUGCAGUCAAUCUAGAAAGAGAGAGAAAAUUUACAGAAAACCCGGCAAUUUACAGAGUAUAUCAGCUGUCAAAUUUGUGCCAUUUCUGAAUUGUGUAUAGCCAGUUAGCAGAAACUGCAAAUGUCAUUGCAAGCAUGACUGAGAUUGUGCAUGAGAGAUUUCGAUUGAGUAGAUGGUUAUGCAGUUGCACUUGGGCUCUGGCAAUGGACAGAGGCGUAAAUAUGGUGACAAUUAAUGUAGGUCUGGUUGUAGGGCCUGGCUUUGCAUACAAAACCUCAGGACCCACCAUAACAUAUCUCAUAGUGGCAGACUGUAGUGCGAGAGAGUGUGAUGGCUUCAACCCGCCGAGGGUUUGUCCACAAGAAGUCCUAUAUUUCCUCAUCAGAAUGUGCAAUGUUCAGCUCAUCAGACGCCCUCACAGAGGAUUUCCUGGUGACCUUGAUGUGACUGCAUUCUACACUCUGAUAUAGCUCAGCACACUUACUGGAAUUUGGCAGGUCAUAACAGUGGAUGUAUACUUGGGGUAUUCUUUCUCAUCCUCCUCAUAUUCUGAAGCAACUGACAAAGAGGAAGGAGAUUGGCUGAUAGCAUCUAAUAUUGAUUCAGGAACAUGAACGCCAAUACCUUUUUUGCAGGAUUUCCUGGUGAUCUUGAUGUGACUGCAUUCUACACUCUGAUAUAGCUCAGCACACUUACUGGAAUUUGGCAGGUCAUAACAGUGGAUGUAUACUUGGGGUAUUCUUUCUCAUCCUCCUCAUAUUCUGAAGCAACUGACAAAGAGGAAGGAGAUUGGCUGAUAGCAUCUAAUAUUGAUUCAGGAACAUGAGCGCCAAUACCCCAUUCCUCAGCUGGAUAGGCUCAAUGGCCUGUAGCAUCCUUUUUACUAGGAAUAUGUAUAAAUCUGUCUACUUUCGGUGGCCUGCUAACAAAGGUGGACACAAUUUAGGGAUAAAAUCGUAUGCUAUCAAGUGCAGAUGGAAAAUUGGAAAUGGAUCCAUGGGCAAUAUUUUACCCUAGACAGGAAGUAACCAAAGAAAUCGAGUCUAACAAUCCAUUUGUCCAAAUAUGACUGAAAUAGAAGCUAUACAUGCAGUUGCAAGUAGUCAAGGCUUUUCCAAAGGCAUGAUAAUUGGAGAAGAUGAAAGUCACAAAAUGGAAAAGGAAACAUUUCUGCAUGGUAUAUCGUCUGAUGAUCGAGUCACUCGGCAGUCCUCUAACGUAGGCAAUCUUGGGAAGUAGAACUUGGGUUUUGAUGCAAAUAAAGAAGAAAUUACAAAAGGAGAAAUGUUGGAAGAGUUUUUUCAAUCUGAAGAGACAUCAAAGAAAAAAGAAGCUUAAGAAGCAACAGCUGCAAAAUCCAGUGGCCAUACAAAUGGAGAGUUGCAGGAUGAACAGCAGGAGAAUUCUAAAGUAAUUGCUGACAAGUUGUAUGAAUCCAAACUGAAAAGGGAGAAUAAUUUAAUUGAUGACAAGGAAUACAGUGCAUACAAAUGGUUGCAGGAUUGUAUAUACUCAUUGAUAUUAUAAGAAAUGCUAAAACUUGUUAGCUAAAAGUUUCAAUGUUUUCAUUUGUUCUCGACUUUUACUACAGCAAAAGAGGAUGCCAUCCUACCAACGUUUGACACAUUCCAGAUCUCUGAAAACUGGCAAUAGUUUACUUGCAACUAAGAGUUCAAUACAAAGUGGCAAGGACAGAGUUUUAGCAUUUACAAAUAAAGGAAGCAGAGCUGAGGUUGAGAAUGUUGAAGUCACAUCAGCUACAUCAAAGAGUGUCCACUUCAUAAGAAAAUAGGUCCUAAGGCAACAUCACACUGUUCCACAACCUUUUACACUGGCUACUGAUAAAAGGGCUUCAUUUGGCUCGCAACAAACUGGCAGUGAAGCAGCUCAGAAGCAUUAUAGGCGUUCUUGCUACAAGUAACGUGACAACUGACUUCCCCUGUCGCUGGAAAAAAGCAGUUGACUGCAAAAUCUGCUAAAGGAGUUUCAGAAACCAAAAUCUCUCAUUCCCUUGUACACAAGUCAUUCAAGACAACUUUGGGGUUCACAGAUAAUUCCAGUAGAUUUGCAUGGAACCAACCACUUCUGAUUUUAGAAAUGAGAGGAUUAUUGGAAGCACAAUUGAUAAAGUUCCCAGAGGAUAUGAUCAUAAUUAUGUCCUCAAUUGUGGUGAAACAAAGAAUGGUCUGAAGCAUGCUGUGAAAAUUAAUGAUCCUUCCAGUAGAGAGGAGCUAUAUACUGAUCAAUUAUGCAGAUCUACUUCAAUAACAUUUCGAUCAGCUUGCAAUAUUGAAAACAUGGGAUGCUGAUAAUGUCUGGAUCUGGUUCAAGCAUUUGAUGUACCAGAGGCAGUAUAGUCAUAAAUAUAUUUGCAUGUAUGUAGAGUGAUGCUAGAGUAUCUCAAUAGUUAUUGCAGUCAAUGCAAAAUCAAUUUUAAUUUUACAGAUGUACUUUUGAAUUAAAUUGAUCAACUAUUUUGUAAAUUGAUAUGUCAAUAGAUUUGUUGUUUAAUAUAAAUUUUUUUAUUUGGGAGGGGUUGAAUUUGCCCCCUCCUUUAGGUUGGAGGGAA